ACGGGAGGCAGCAGUGGGGAAUAUUGCACAAUGGGCGAAAGCCUGAUGCAGCGACGCCGCGUGAGUGAAGAAGUAUUUCGGUAUGUAAAGCUCUAUCAGCAGGGAAGAUAAUGACGGUACCUGACUAAGAAGCCCCGGCUAACUACGUGCCAGCAGCCGCGGUAAUACGUAGGGGGCAAGCGUUAUCCGGAUUUACUGGGUGUAAAGGGAGCGUAGACGGCAUGGCAAGUCUGAUGUGAAAACCCGGGGCUCAACCCCGGGACUGCAUUGGAAACUGUCAGGCUAGAGUGCAGGAGAGGUAAGUGGAAUUCCUAGUGUAGCGGUGAAAUGCGUAGAUAUUAGGAGGAACACCAGUGGCGAAGGCGGCUUACUGGACUGUAACUGACGUUGAGGCUCGAAAGCGUGGGGAGCAAACAGGAUUAGAUACCCUGGUA
rnacentral:rRNA from 1 species